CACCGCGGUUAUACGAAGGGCUCAAGUUGAUGAACCUCGGCGUAAAGCGUGGUUAAGGUGAAAUUACAACUAAAGCCAAAUAUUUACAAGGCUGUUACACGCAUUCGAAAAUAAGAAGCCCAAUUGCGAAAGUCGCUUUAUAUGUCCCGAAUCCACGAAAGCUAAGAAA
rnacentral:rRNA from 1 species